AAGGGCGUUCAGUGGAUGCCUUGGCACCAAGAGGCGAUGAAGGACGUGGCACGCUGCGAUAAGCCGCGGGGAGAUGCGAGCGAUCGUUGAUCCGCGGAUGUCCGAAUGGGGCAACCCCUCCCUAGGGAGAUCCGGCACUGAAUACAU
rnacentral:sRNA from 1 species